AAUGAACGCUGGCGGCAGGCCUAACACAUGCAAGUCGAACGAGUGGCGGACGGGAGAGUAAUGUCUGGGAAACUGCCUGAUGGAGGGGGAUAACUACUGGAAACGGUAGCUAAUACCGCAUACCAUCGGAUGUGCCCAGAUGGGAUUAGCUGGUAGGUGGGGUAAAGGCACACCUAGGCGACGGUCCCUAGCUGGUCGGAGCGGAUGACCAGCCACACUGGAACGGAGACACGGUCCAGACUCCUACGUGAGGCAGCGGUGGGGAAUGUUGGACAAGGGGGGCAGGCCUGAUGCGGCCAUGCCGCGUGGAUGAGGAGGUCAUGCGGGUUGUAAAGUACUUUCAGCUGGAAGGCGUUACCCGCAGAAGAAGCACCGGCUAACUCCGUGCCAGCAGCCGCGGUAAUUC
rnacentral:rRNA from 1 species